rnacentral:rRNA from 1 species
UACGGGGGGAGCAAACGUUGUUCGGAAUCACUGGGCUUAAAGGGCGCGUAGGCGGGCCGGAUAGUCUGUGGUGAAAGCCCCCAGCUUAACUGGGGAAGUGCCAUGGAUACUGCCGGUCUGGAGGAGGGUAGGGGCAUCUGGAACGCUGGGUGGAGCGGUGAAAUGCGUUGAUAUCCAGCGGAACUCCGGUGGCGAAGGCGAGGUGCUGGACCCUUUCUGACGCUGAGGCGCGAAAGCCAGGGGAGCAAACGGG